rnacentral:rRNA from 1 species
UGGGGAAUAUUGGACAAUGGGCGAAAGCCUGAUCCAGCCAUGCCGCGUGUGUGAAGAAGGUCUUCGGAUUGUAAAGCACUUUAAGUUGGGAGGAAGGGCAUUAACCUAAUACGUUAGUGUUUUGACGUUACCGACAGAAUAAGCACCGGCUAACUCUGUGCCAGCAGCCGCGGUAAUACAGAGGGUGCAAGCGUUAAUCGGAAUUACUGGGCGUAAAGCGCGCGUAGGUGGUUUGUUAAGUUGGAUGUGAAAUCCCCGGGCUCAACCUGGGAACUGCAUUCAAAACUGACUGACUAGAGUAUGGUAGAGGGUGGUGGAAUUUCCUGUGUAGCGGUGAAAUGCGUAGAUAUAGGAAGGAACACCACUGGCGAAGGCGACCACCUGGACUAAUACUGACACUGAGGUGCGAAAGCGUGGGGAGCAAACA